UCAUGGCUCAGAAUAAACGCUGGCGGCGUGCCUAACACAUGCAAGUCGAGCGAGAAAGUUCCUUCGGGAGCAAGUAAAGCGGCGGACGGGUGAGUAACGCGUGAGAAUUUACCCUUUAGUGAGGAAUACCUCUGAGAAAUCAGGGCUAAUACUGCAUAAGUCCCUACGGGGAGAAAGGUGGCCUACUUGCUGCCGCUAAAGGAUAAGCUUGCGGGCUAUUAGCUAGUUGGUGAGGUAAAGGCUCACCAAGGCGAUGAUAGGCUAGCCGGCCUGAGAGGGUGUACGGCCACACUGGAACUUAGACACGGUCCAGACUCCUACGGGAGGCAGCAGUGAGGAAUAUUGCGCAAUGGGCGAAAGCCUGACGCAGCGACGCCGCGUGGAGGAUGAAGGUCUUCGGAUUGUAAACUUCUGUUAAGUGGGAAGGAAGAUUUAUCCCUAAUAUGGAUAAAGGAUGACGGUACCAUUAGAGAAAGCACCGGCUAACUUCGUG
rnacentral:rRNA from 1 species